GGAUGGGUGGCUGAGCGGUUGAAAGCACCGGUCUUGAAAACCGGCGUGGGUUUACGCCCACCGUGGGUUCGAAUCCCACCCCAUCCGCCA
rnacentral:tRNA from 1 species